AUUUUGGUAUAUGUAAAGGCUGAGGACUUACUGUGUUAAUUUUCUACCUAGCCACCAGAUACCUUUUUUUAGUCUGUAAUAGUAUUUCAAUUAACUUAUUUGAGUUUUUUCAGCUACACAAUCAUGUCAUCUGCAACCACUGAUAAGUAACCUUUGUUCCAGUGUGCAUACUUUGUGUCUUGUUUGGAUUGUCUCAUACUUCUAGACUAAUGUUAAAUAACAAUGGCUAUAAUGAAAUGGGUUGAAAUACAUACAUUUAAUCAUAUUAAGGACUAUCCAUUGAUCCCAAUUUUAAACAGGUUUUAAGGCUGCAUGUUGAAUUUUAUCACGUCUUUUCAGCAGCUGUGGGGGUACUCAUCAUUCUCCUCCAGUCCUAAUAUGAUGAAUUUUGUUAAUAUAGUUUGUAAUAUUAAACCAUCCUCAUCCUUGCAUUCCUGAGAUAAACUCUACUUGGCCAUGUGUAUUUUUUAAUUUGUGGCAAGAUUAUGUUUACCAUUUUAUUUGAGAUAUUUGUAUUUGUCAGUGAAAUAAGUUUAUAGAUGUGUGUCUGUGUGUGCACAUGUUAUAUUUGAGAAAAUUGGUAUUAAUGUUAUCUAGUGGCAUAAAAUUCUCCUGCUUUGCUAUGAUUCAGAACAUUUUAAACAGCUUUGGCAUUUUCUGGUUCUUAAAAUUUCAGUGAAAUUAUCUAGUUUUGAUAGAUAGUUGGCAAAUAGCUCUUCAACAAAUCCUUGUUAUUUCCUGUGGUAAUUGGUCUAUGUAGUUUUUGUAUCUUAUCAGGAACCACCCUUUUCACCAUUUUCACCCAUUUCAUAUUUAUUUGGCUAUUGUUGAGCAAAGUUAUCCUCUGUAUAUGACUCUUUCCUCC
rnacentral:lncRNA from 1 species